rnacentral:RNase_P_RNA from 1 species
ACCGCAGACCGCCUUAUCGUCCGUGUGAAUGCAUGGGAGGAAAGUCCGGACACCAAAGAGUAGCAUAGUGGGUAACGCCCAUCCGUUCGUUUCGGCGAAUGAGGACAAGUGCAACAGAAAGUAUGUACAGAUAAUGCUGUAGUGAAACCAGGUAAACUCUAUGCGGUGAAAUGUCAAGUAUAUCAACAGUUUCUAAGUAAUUAGAAUAAGGGCGACUCGUCCGAUGUUGAAGGGUAGGCAGCUUGAGCUAUAUAGUAAUGUAUAGUCUAGAUAAAUGAUAAGGCUCCGUUUAUCGGAGACAGAAUCCGGCUUAUAGGUCUGCUUUUUAU